CUGUGCUUCAGGCUGGAAGCCCAGAGAGACUGUGACUGAACUCUGCCUCUUCUCUCCCUUCCUUUGGCUUUCUUCAGAAUGGGAAGCACAUGAUGGCCUGCUGGUCCCAGAAGAAUGAGAGAUCCACAGAACAGACCUGAAUGAAUUUGCUGGAAAGAGAAAAGAAACACCUGCCUCCAAAUCGAGAGGGCACUGACAGUCCAAAGAAGUCCAGGGCCUUCUUCAGAAGAACUGGCUGCUCUUACAGCUGAGAGAUCUCAGGCUGUGAACCGGCUUCAACCUGAGA